GGGGCUGACUGGUUUCGACAUCAGUUUCAUUGGCCGGACGUGCGACCCGAGUUGCUCAGACUCGCUAAACGGGGCACACCAAGAAUUGCCAACGAGCAGUUCGCUCUCGCCGCCUGAUCCUCAGGUAGUGAAGAGACAUCGUGACCAGAAAUGGCGCACGGGGCCGAUCCACCGCAGCCCGGCAACAGAAGCGGGGGAUGACAGCGGAAAAGACUGCUGGCGUCGGGAAAGACCGAUGACGAUUCGGAAAGACGAUUCGUGGAUCGCCACCCUCGGGUGACGAUCAGCUGACCCGCCGGCCUCCCUGCGUCAGGGAGAAGGACGGGAAUGGUCGUAGCACGGUCGUCUGGUGCCUGAUGGACGGGGGUUCGAUUCCCCCCAGCUCCACGC
rnacentral:tmRNA from 1 species